UCAGCUUAGUACGAGAGGAACCGCUGAUUCAGAUAAUUGGUUUUUGCGGCUGUCUGACAAGGCAGUGCCGCGAAGCUACCAUCUGCUGGAUAAUGGCUGAACGCCUCUAAGUCAGAAUCCAUGCCAGAACGCGGCGAUUUCCUCCCACACAUCGUAGUCGGAUACGAAUAGGCCUAUGGCCCUGAAUCUUAGCUAGUUGGCAAUGGGACAGCGGGAGAAGUCCACUGUCUCAGCUGACGCCUUGCAAUUUUACCAUGCGUGGGGAUAAAACCUUUGCAUACGACUUAGUUAUAUCAGACGGUGCUGUAAAUAGUAGAGUAGUCUUGUUAUUACGAUCUAUUGAGGCUAAGCCGCGCUGAUUUAGUUUUGU
rnacentral:ncRNA from 1 species